rnacentral:rRNA from 1 species
AGAAUCAACGCUGGCGGCGUGCCUAACACAUGCAAGUCGAACGAGAAAGUGGAGCAAUCCAUGAGUAAAGUGGCGACCGGGUGAGUAACACGUGACUAACCUACCUUCAAGGUGGGGGAUAACCUCGGGAAAACCGGGGCUAAUACCGCAUAACAUCUUUGGAGUGGAAAUUCUGGAGAUCAAAGGAGCAAUUCGCUGGAAGAGGGGGUCGCGGCUGAUUAGCUAGUUGGCGGGGUAAUGGCCCACCAAGGCUUUGAUCGGUA